rnacentral:rRNA from 1 species
AGAGUUUGAUCCUGGCUACAGGACGAACGCUGGCGGCGUGCUUAACACAUGCAAGUCGAACGAGGUUAGAUUGAGAGCUUGCUUUUGAGAUAACUGAGUGGCGAACGGGUGAGUAACGCGUGAGCAACCUGUCUCACACAGGGGGAUAACGCAUCGAAAGAUGUGCUAAUACCGCAUGAGACCACAGGGGGACAUCCCCCAGGGGUCAAAGGAGGAAUCCGGUGUGAGGUGGGCUCGCGUCUGAUUAGAUAGUUGGUGAGGUAACGGCCCACCAAGUCAACGAUCAGUAGCCGACCUGAGAGGGUGAUCGGCCACAUUGGGACUGAGACACGGCCCAGACUCCUACGGGAGGCAGCAGUGGGGAAUAUUGGGCAAUGGGCGAAAGCCUGACCCAGCAACGCCGCGUGAGGGAAGAAGGUUUUCGGAUUGUAAACCUCUGUCCUGUAUGAAGAGGAGAAGACGGUAGUACAGGAGGAAGCCCCGGCUAACUACGUGCC